rnacentral:rRNA from 1 species
UACGGGAGGCAGCAGUGGGGAAUAUUGCACAAUGGGCGAAAGCCUGAUGCAGCUAUGCCGCGUGUAUGAAGAAGGCCUUAGGGUUGUAAAGUACUUUCAUCAGGGAGGAAAAACAAAACUAAUAAUUUUAUUUCUUGACGUUACCCGAAAAAGAAGCACCGGCUAACUCCGUGCCAGCAGCCGCGGUAAUACGGAGGGUGCUAGCGUUAAUCAGAAUUACUGGGCGUAAAGAGCACGUAGGUGGUUUUUUAAGUCAGAUGUGAAAUCCCUGGGCUUAACCUAGGAACUGCAUUUUGAAACUGAAAUACUAGAGUAUCGUAGAGGGAGGUAGAAUUCUAGGUGUAGCGGUGAAAUGCGUAGAUAUCUGGAGGAAUACCUGUGGCGAAAGCGGCCUCCUAAACGAAUACUGACACUGAGGUGCGAAAGCGUGGGGAGCGAAACAGGGAUUAGGAUACC